UACGUAGGGUGCAAGCGUUAAUCGGAAUUACUGGGCGUAAAGCGUGCGCAGGCGGCGCGUUUAGGACAGGUGUGAAAGCCCCGAGCUUAACUUGGGAAUUGCGCUUGUGACUGGCGUGCUGGAGUGCGGGAGAGGAUGGUGGAAUUCCCAGUGUAGAGGUGAAAUUCGUAGAUAUUGGGAAGAACACCGGUGGCGAAGGCGGCCAAUCUGGACCGCAACUGACGCUGAGGCGGCGAAAAGCGUGGGGGAGCAAACAGGGAUUAA
rnacentral:rRNA from 1 species